CAAAGUUAACAUAUAAGAUACCCCAAAUAUAUUUGACCACAUCUAGCUGGUUUUAUUUUUUUAAAUAGAGCCUUUUAGGAGAAUAGUAUUCUGUGUAAGAUACUUUAAAAAUUGUUGGCUUGACCUAAAGAAGUGGUGGGAAUUUCUGAAGCCCUUAAUAGGUGAUUAGGGGACACAUUUUGGGAAGUUUUCCCUUUGUGAUAUUUGAGUUAUAUCACAUUGGUAGUGUUUGUUUUUAUGUGGCUGACCCUACUUCUGAUACUCUCCUUAGUAUCACCUUGGGCAACCCUUUUCGGGAAAACUUCAUUAAGUAGACGUUGUCCUGGAAUGUGUGAGUGCUCCUGGCUGAGAAUGGGGUUUGAAGAACAGAAACAAGUACCCGGAGCCAAGAAGAAAGUCUGAAUCCAGGAGGUCCCGAGCACAUAUGCGCACAUAUGCAAUCACCAGAUAAAGCAGGCAAGGGUUUCUUUUUUCCUGUGGAAGCAUCGCAAAAAAGUUCAACUUCUCAGGUGUCCUUUAAUGGUUGGUGCUCCUGCUCAUAUCACACCAGGUUACAGGAAUUUUAGGAUUUUUGGAACGGCCUUUUCUACCUCCCUCAGGAUGAUUCCAGCAUGCUACAGAAGAGCCUGAGAACUAAGGUCCCGAAUCUGUUAAAAUGUACUAUAGUGUAUAACCACCCUGGAAAUUCCUGAGCUUCUGGAGGCUGCAUUCUAGCGGGGGUGGAGUCUGAAGUAAAACCUAGUUCACAUAAACCCUUGAAUUUCCAGAUUGGCGUUUCAUUUAUUUAGUUAUUCAUUCACCAAGCAAAUUCCUGACAUUGGAGCUACAGUGGAACUCUAGAGCUAGAGAGAUAACAAGAAGUAAAAAUGGAUAUAAUUGAAUAAAGGAGGUCCUUCCCUUACCCUGAAAAUGGUACAAUCCUAGAGGCUGUCUAUUGUUAGCUACAUGGGUCAGUAAGUUUGUGGCCUUCCAUAUGACGUAGGAAAAGUGAUCUAAAGUUAUCUCCGGUAGCUCAUGAUGUUGUAUUUUGCCUCUGAGGAGAGUUUUUAGUUUAAAAUGAAAUGCUGUUUAAAAUCAGGAUUGCAGAGCUGCUGUUCCAUCAAUUGCCUGAGAUAUCAGCUAGUAAGGGGACACCCAGAGACUUGCCGCGUGGUGUAGCCUUUACUCCUAGAGUCUGCUGGGGCCAAGCGUAUGAUUCAUGUGAGCAAGAGAGUGAACAGACCUUAGGAGAGAAGUUAACAGUUGCCACAGGAUCCCUAGGGAGUGAGGAAGGCUUAGGGAGGAGGUGAAGGAACCAUCUCCGUCCACAGAACAGCAAGUCAGAGGUCCCCAGGGAUGAGAAGAAUCCAGCAAAUGGUCUAGCCCGCCAACAGACAGGCAAAGCCCUGCAACUCUGAAAUAAGAACUGGGCUGUGACACUGCUUCCUCUCUCUCCCUACACUCCAAACCCAGGAGGACUAUCUGAGAAGAAAAAGGAGAAAUUCUGCUCUGGGUAAGGAAGGAGAGAAGUUUUCUCUAUUCCCUCCUCUGAGCACUGGUCUCACAUCUUCAGGAAGCCCAACAGGUUAGAAGGGUAUGUGUGUGUGAUCUCUGAGGCUUCAAGAUUAACCCAAGUUCAAAGUUUUGCUAAUCACAAGGCACUGGACAUUUUGAUUGCCGACUAAAGAAUCUUGAUUUUUUUUAAAAAAAUGUGUCUUGUCUUCUCUGUUCUCCUGAAUAUAUAUCCAGGAGUAUCUCUGAGAAAUAAAGUAAUGCAGCCACUGCAUUUAGCAAAAUGAUGCCCCAGUGGCCUGAAAUGAUGACUGUGCCUACUGAAAUGCCCAGUAUCUACACCGGCAGCAUCUGGUGGAUGAUGGCUGAGGAUGCGUGCGUGUAGGAACUAAACUGCUGAUACAUUAACUUAGUGUGUCUUUAUGAUCAAUACUGAUCACUUUAGCAAAAUCAACCGUGCAGUAAACUACAUUGAUCUUAAAGACGAGCGUGUGAACUAUACUACAAGACUAGUUUCUGUUAUUCUGUGUGGGUAGACAUAGCCAGGACCUCAUUCAUAAAGCUCAGAAUCAGCCCUGGUGCAUUUUCAGAUGACAGAUAUUAUCUGCAAACGUAUCUUGACUUUAGAUUAAUAUGGUAUUUACAUAAAUUAAAGGGACAGUGUGAAACUAGAACAAUAAUACAAUCUUGUUAAAGCUGUGCUCUUGUCACAGCGACGUCUGUGUGAACACCCCUUUUACUCUCAUAUAGAACCCCAGAAGAAGAAUGUGGAAAUAUCACUUGGAGAGAACUGCCAAGGAAGUUCACUCACAGAUUCCUGCAUCCUCUGGCACAGUGCUGCAUGACUUUGAGCUGACCUUGAAAUUUAUGGUCUGGCACAAAUAGUCAUUAAACUGGGAACAGCUUGUGCAAUGCCUUGAUAACAAAUGGUACCCAGCAAUGUGUUAGCCGUGGAAAGAAAUAAAAAUAUCCAAUUUAGUUUUAAUUCUGGAAUGGAGAAUGGACUGUGAUUUUGAGAUGCAGUCGCAAAGUUGAAUGCCAAUUCUGAGGAACAGGAUAAUGUUUAUGAUCUUCUAAGUGUACUUAAAUUGGAGACUAGUAAUAGGCUGUUCUGAUUGAGCUACGAACAGCUGGCAGGCAUGAGAGUUGUGCACUAACCUUCAUCAGGUCUCUUGUUGUAAAUUUAUGAAUUGGUCCCUUUUUCCUCAGCUCUGUGGAGCAAAGGGAAAGGAACUUAUGCUUAUCUAAUGUAUGAAUGAGACACCACACCCUCUUAAUGGCAGCGUAUCUCAGCUUUUGCGUAGUUUACACCUCUGUUACACAAAGAGUCAUAAAAUUUAAACUGGACCCAAGGUAGCACAAGUUAAUUUUUAUCUCAUGAGUUCCCUGAAAAAGUCUAGGCUAUUGUAUGAUUUAGUAUUUGGGUAAUAAGGAUUUUUCCACAGGAUGUCAUAUUGUAUAUGAAAUUUUGGUAAGUAAAUUACUAAUAUUACAUACAAAAAUGAAGCUUUAAGUUUGUCUACAUGGCAUGAAUAAUAUUGACCUAUUAAAAGGAAAAAAAAACUGGCUUAUUAGCUGUACCUGAGAAGGAUAUGCCAGGUGAAUCUGUCUUACCCACAGGCCCUGGCAAAGGGAUAGCACUGGGUCAUUACUUACACACGUGUAGCAGCUGAUUACCUGCAGUAUGUACCCAACUCCAGGUCAGGCCCUCUAUGGUUGGUUGUGUGGACUGGAAAGAAUAGUUGAGCGGGAUCAAUUAGAUUCCCUCUUUCCAGCAUUCUCACUGAAAUGUGGGAACAAAUUGGCCAGGUGGGAUCUGAAAGAGACAGAGUCAUGGAUGGGCAGAAUGUAGUUGAGUCUCUUGGUGAUCUAAAUCAGGGAGAAGAGCUAUGAAUUCCUGCUACUCAGGUCUCUAGAGCCACUUUAUGUCUAGAAGUGACUUCUACUUCCAAAUUCCAGCUUUUGUGCUUGGACUUUGGAGAGGUUUCUAAAAGGUCUUGAAAAAUAUUCUGGCAGAGACUAUCCACCACGAAAGUGAGGACAGAAAAGUGAAAGGAAAUACUUUGAUGUCUACCAUUUUCACUUUUUACAGAACUGCAGUACUCCGUAAAGGAAUCUUAGAUUUUAUCUGACUCAGUGUAUCUAAAGUGUAGAUCCAUUCGUAUGGCUUUCCAAGAACCAGUCUAUAAAUCAUAAGAUGGAUUCCCAUAACCUACUUCCCUAGAUUCAGCACCUCCUGAGUGGUUCCUAGGACUCUCUUUUUAGAGAGCCUCCAGGCAAUUCUAAUGUCUUGGACUAGCCAGGUUUGGGUCCUGAUAUUGCUAACUCUCUCAUUUUGUAGAUUAGAAAAUUGAGGCACAAUGUCUUCACAUGUCAAACCCUAAAUUGCACAAUUAAUAUAUGGAAGAACCUGAAAAAGACUAAUAUCCUCUUGUUUCAAGUGUGUUUUCUAAUCCACCAGUUUGUUUUUUUACAGAACUUUGGAAUCCUUAAUUGCAGAAUUGACUUUACUAAUUCACAAGGACAAGUAUAUUGGAGUUUACUGGGCCAUCGGUAUACUUUUCUAUUCUACUAUUACCCUAGUCUUUAUCAAUACUGAAAAUAAAUAGAAAACACAAGGGGCGAUAUAUUCUCAAAGAAAUGCUAGAAAAAAAUUACUAUUAUCCUCAGUAAAGUUUGUCACACAAGGAAAGUAUAGAGAAGGACCUAGAAAAGACAGAGUAUGUGCUAUGAAUGUUGAAUUAUGUGUCAAAUUUAUAAAGAAAUUAUAGAUUUAAAAAUAGUUUUGUAAAGAGAAUAUUAUCAAAUGAAUAUAAAACUAUUAAAAAACAAUUGAACAUAAAACAAAGGUUCUACAAUUGAACCUAAAACAAAGUUAAGCUAUGAAGUUAAUUUUAAAACCAUAGUAAAAUAUUUACGUUGGUAAUAUUCAUUAAGUAAG
rnacentral:lncRNA from 10 species